AUGAUUAAGCCUUGAGUUCUUUCUGCUAAGUGAAAUAAUCAGACUCAAAAAGACAACUACUACAUGAUUCCACUUAACAGAGCUGGAGUGCAUCCCGGGGACUUGGGAGCUCUGGAAAGAGGAGCAGGAAAGGGCCAUGGCCGGAGGAGGCCUGAAAAAGAUCAUCUCUGCCACAGAGAAGAAGCUGGCUCGGAUGCUGCUGGCCCCUAUGGAGACAGGGAGACCCGGGGAGACAACUGUAUUCAUUCAAGGAGGAAUGGGUGGUGAUGCAAACUUGGGUGGAGGCCACAGGGUGCAGAAGACAGGACACAGCAGAGAGAGAUGUAGGACAUGGAAGGGACAGAAAGGAGUGACCACAGGACAUAAAGGGGCAAGGAAAGUGGAAGCAUGAUAACAUCUGCUGGGCAUCCGGCUGAGGGGUUGGGUGCCUAGGGUGCCCUUCCCUAAGGGAGAACCCCAGGAGCAGAUUCAGAGAAAACCGCCCAGCUCACUCCAGCAAGAAUCAGAAAAGGACCGGUUAAAGGAGAGGGUAGGAAGGUCACCAAGCUCCAAGGGCCCUCAUGAAUCCGGCUUGGAGGCCACAGGGCCCAGGGCAAGGACAAACCACAGGCACAGGACAGCUCCGGUCAAGAUCUUCUGGCUACUGCAGGAGGCAGAAACCACACCCUGCACCCUGCACUGCUGAGGCUGGCGCUGGAGUCCAGAAGCUUCUACACCAGAAGCUUCGGUCCCCCAUCCCUGCUCAAAAAAUUAAAACAAAAACAAUAACAAAUCGGUGUCAUGCACCCUCUGCUUCCUGGUGCUGUUCGGGACCCUGAGUCUUUCACGGGAGCACCUGAUGGGGAAAGCCUGGACCCGUGUCGGUGUCCCUCCUGCAAGGAGUGCUGGGAAAAUGAACUUUCCAGCUUCCUCCUUGCGAAGGCAGAACAUUCCCCAUGUGUACUGGUGGCAUUUAAAAACUGCAGGGCAGCCAGAGAACAUGGACUGUGUUCCACCGGGAGAGUUCCUGGCGGGAUGUCCCGGUGCAGAAGCCCGUCCCAAGGUUUAGCAAUAAAGGAGGAUGUUGCUGAUCUCAGUACAAGCAAUGUUAGAGAAAGGGGAAGAUGGAAGUGGACAAGGACGAGUGAGUGGAAGGUGACAAAUGGAAGCAAAGAAACGUAUCCAGACCAUUGAAGAUGCUUGAGCGAGAAGAAAGAGGCGGUGGAGGGAAUGGAAGCCCGAGGAAGUCAUAUGUUGCAAUAAGGGGCCUCAGAGCACGUGUAGAGUGUGGAGCAGAGCCCUUGCAGAGGGGCUGUGGAAGGCUGGCAGGGUGCAGGUGGCCCCACUCUCCGUCACCCUGAGGAGUGUGUGGUCAGAGUUAAAGCUCAGUCUGUUUCUGGGAUCAGGCUUUCACAAGCUCCAAAAGAUUCACCGUGCAGAACUGGACGUUCUAGAGAAAGACCACGCCUCCUCCUGCAGGUAACUCUUCAUUCAGGAAGCAGCUCUUGGCUUAUCCCUGGGCUUAGUGGAAUUGGAAUACCUGACCAUAGGACACCAAGGGCUUUAGGACCUGAGUGGCACAUCGUGUCCUGGUGACAUCUGAGUUACCUGGGGCGUGCACAGCAGCCUCCAGCAUCCCAGGGAGAGCUGUGUAUGGGGUCAGGCUCAAGCAGGUCCCAGGGCACCAGUGACCCAAUGGGUGAAUCAGACUCCCGUGGCACCUGCUCCUUCUGUAUCUCCCUCUGCCAUAUAUAUGAGCUCAUGGGAAGCACUGUAACCUCUUACAGAGGAGGAAAGUUCAUGGACUUCUAGCUUCUAGAACUGUGAUACAAUAAACUCCUGUUGCUUAUC
ensembl:lncRNA PSG8-AS1 PSG8 antisense RNA 1